UAACUCCAGAACCUUUCGAAGCGGAACCAAAAUUUCCUUCCUCAACCGAUCACGAAUCCUAUAAGCAUAGUGCGCCUCUUCGAGGCCUUCAUAUUCAGGGUAGGAUUCUCUAGGGAAUACUUUCCUCGCUAUACUCUCGCAGAGCAAAGUUGAUCGAUCGAAGGAAGAGUCGAUAGAUGGGCACCACUUAGCAGCAAGGCUCACCUUCGUCGUCUUCUCGGACUUAAGAUGCUCCAUAUCGGCUUUCAGGCACUUAGCGAAGAAGUCCGAGAUGCGUUCAAAUAAGAAUCGGAAAUCAGGAUCUCGGUUAUAUCUCUCAUAAACCUUCUUGGCCAUGGCUACUCUAUUCUUUUUCCUCCCAUGCUUGCCAUCUCUUUCUCAAUCUUGUUCCUUUGCAUAGCGUUCAUGAUCCUGAUCUCUCUAGUCACACUAGGCUUGGCUCGCCUUGAUGUCUUUCGAUGUUGAAACGGUCCUCGAAAGGUUGAGUGCCUGUAGUUAAACCGAUUAAACCUGUUUCCUUCCCUUUUGCCUCCUGUUUUCCUCUGCUCCCACUCUGCUUUUUGAUUUAUCCUCACGUUCAAUCCCUCUAAAAGACGGUAAAGAAUCUCGGGCAA
rnacentral:misc_RNA from 1 species